rnacentral:rRNA from 1 species
AAUAGAUACCCUGGUAGUCCACGCCGUAAACGAUGAGUGCUAAGUGUUAGGGGGUUUCCGCCCCUUAGUGCUGCAGCUAACGCAUUAAGCACUCCGCCUGGGGAGUACGGUCGCAAGACUGAAACUCAAAGGAAUUGACGGGGGCCCGCACAAGCGGUGGAGCAUGUGGUUUAAUUCGAAGCAACGCGAAGAACCUUACCAGGUCUUGACAUCCCGUUGACCACUGUAGAGAUAUAGUUUCCCCUUCGGGGGCAACGGUGACAGGUGGUGCAUGGUUGUCGUCAGCUCGUGUCGUGAGAUGUUGGGUUAAGUCCCGCAACGAGCGCAACCCUUGAUCUUAGUUGCCAUCAUUUAGUUGGGCACUCUAAGGUGACUGCCGGUGACAAACCGGAGGAAGGUGGGGAUGACGUCAAAUCAUCAUGCCCCUUAUGACCUGGGCUACACACGUGCUACAAUGGACGAUACAAACGGUUGCCAACUCGCGAGAGGGAGCUAAUCCGAUAAAGUCGUUCUCAGUUCGGAUUGUAGGCUGCAACUCCG